rnacentral:lncRNA from 1 species
GUGGGCACCAUCUAAUUAGCUUCCAGUGUGGCCAGAAUAAAGCAGGCAGACAUUGGAAGAACUUGACUUGCUGAGUCUUCCAGCCUUCAUCUUUCUCCCAUGCUGGGUGCUUCCUACCUUGGAAUACUGGACUCCGAGUUCUUCAGCUUUUGGACUCUUGGACUUACACCAGUUGUUUGCCAGGGGCUCUCAGACCUUUGGCCACAGACUGAAGCCUGCACCGUUGGCUUCCCUACUUUCGAGGCUUUCUUGCUCCUCAGCUUGCAGAUGGUCUACUGUGGGACUUCACCUUGCAAUCAUGGAAAAUGAACCGGUUCUCUGGAUUUAUUCUAGUCAAACACAGAGCCAGGCUGAACAGGGCUUUUGCUGCUCCAUCUUUGAGUUCCUGGGCAACUAUGUGGCUCCCUGAGCUUUUGUUAAGAAAAGCAGAAGCACCAGGGCACCCAGAUCCUGACGGCAUGUGGUAGGUGGAGAUUGCUCUCCUGCCCUGCAAGUUGGGCAAAUAGGAUGAAAAUUUCUGCACGUUUGAAGAUAAACACUACAGAUUGCUACAGAUGAAUGCUACUGACAUGCUAAAGACUAUAUGACAAUUCCUUUUAAAGUCAGACACUCAAUUGUGAAAGAUGUGUGAACAAUCCAAUGAUGGAUGUCCGUUAGUUCAGUGCUGUCAAGCUGAGUUACUACUCCACAUCUCUGAUACUGAUGCUGUUUUUGCAGUCAUGAUUGAGUCGUUGAAGAAAAAAGCACUCUACAGAGUUCUGCCCAACUGUGUCCAAACAAGCAGCAACUUGAAAUAUCAUUGGCUUACUCAGCAGCAUCAGAACCCACAAAGCAAAGAGGUUAGAUCCAUCCAAGAGACUUUUCUGCAGCAGUAAAUGGAUUUGCCCUCUUUAGAGCAGGGAGCACAGCUCCAACACAAUUAUUCUUAUUGGAACAGACUAAGGAAUUUACUUCAAAUGAGGUUGUUGGUUGUCCUGUGAAAGCUGUGUCAGAAUAAAUAUUCAACUGCUCUUUGGAGGCAUAAUUUGUUAGCCCGUGAAUCAUUUGUGACCCAUGAGCUGCAUAUAGCUGACUUUGUUUAAAUGGAGGGAAAACUUCUUUCAUUCUAGCAAAACUUGUAUAAAGCUCAGGUAUAGAGAAAACACUUUAACGUUCAGUUCUUUCCAAAGGGGCCAUUUUUAUAUGCCAGAUGUCCUGA